rnacentral:rRNA from 1 species
GACGAACGCUGGCGGCGUGCUUAACACAUGCAAGUCGAACGGAAAGGCCCUGCUUUUGUGGGGUGCUCGAGUGGCGAACGGGUGAGUAACACGUGAGUAACCUGCCCUUGACUUUGGGAUAACUUCAGGAAACUGGGGCUAAUACCGGAUAGGAGCUCCUGCUGCAUGGUGGGGGUUGGAAAGUUUCGGCGGUUGGGGAUGGACUCGCGGCUUAUCAGCUUGUUGGUGGGGUAGUGGCUUACCAAGGCUUUGACGGGUAGCCGGCCUGAGAGGGUGACCGGCGACAUUGGGACUAAGAUACGGCCCAGACUCCUACGGGGGGCAGCAGUGGGGAAUAUUGCACAAUAGGCGGAGGCCUGAUACAGAAACGCCGCGUGCGGGAUGACGGCCUUCGGGUUGUAAACGGCUUUCGCCUGUGACGAAGCGGGAGUGACGGUAAUGGGUAAAAAAGCACCGGCUAACUACGUG